rnacentral:piRNA from 1 species
UGUAUAAGAAAGAUUUCCUGGGCAUUGGC